UACGUAGGGAGCAAGCGUUGUCCGGAAUCAUUGGGCGUAAAGCGCGCGUAGGUGGCCUCAUAAGUCCGCUGUGAAAGUCAAAGGCUCAACCUUUGAAAGCCGGUGGAUACUGUGAGGCUAGAGUACGGAAGAGGCGAGUGGAAUUCCUGGUGUAGCGGUGGAAUGCGCAGAUAUCAGGAGGAACACCGGUGGUGUAGACGGCUCUCUGGACCGUAACUGACGCUGAGGCACGAAAGCGUGGGUAGCAAACAGG
rnacentral:rRNA from 1 species